GCCAUGGAUCCAGCCAUCAAGAAGCGCAAGCCUGACGAGAACGGCGCGGCGGCGGCGGCGGCGGCGCUAACCAACGAGGACGUCCUCAAGUUGGUCGAGCCCUUCUCCCGCGAGCAGCUCGCGGAGAUCGUGGCCGGCGCGGCGUGCCGCGACGCGGCGGCGCUCGACGCCGUGCGCGCCGUCGCGGACCGCGACCUCGCCCAGCGCAAGCUCUUCAUCCGCGGGCUCGGGUGGGAGACCACCACCGAGACCCUCCGCUCCCUCUUCUCCGCCUUCGGCGAGCUCGAAGAGGCCGUGGUCAUCGUCGACAAGAACACGGGCAAGAGCAAGGGCUACGGCUUCAUCACCUUCCGCCACGCCGACGGCGCCCUCCUCGCCCUCAAGGAGCCCUCCAAGAAGAUCGACGGCCGCAUGGCCGUCACCCAGCUCGCCUCCGCCGGCGCCGGGGGCGCCGCGGGCUCCGCCGCCGCCGCAGCCGCGCCCGCCGCCGACGUGUCGCUCCGCAAGAUCUACGUGGGCAACGUCCCCGCCGAGAUGCCCUCCGAGCGCCUCCUCACGCAGUUCGCCUCCUACGGGGAGAUCGAGGAGGGGCCGCUAGGGUUCGACAAGCAGACCGGGAAGUUCCGCGGUUUCGCUCUCUUCGUCUACAAGACGGUCGAGGCGGCGCAGGCGGCGCUCAUCGAGCCCACCAAGACCAUCGAUGGCCAUGUGCUUGUGUGCAAGCUCGCGAUCGAGGGGAAGAAGGGGAAGCCGGGGGCUCCCGGUCCCGCUCCGCCACCCGGAUUACCGGGGCAGCAGAUGGGAAUGCAGUCGACGGUGCCGAAUUCCAUGCCGAGCCAAUAUGGCGGUUUCCACCAUCAAUCCUUGCCUUCAUCCAUGGGAGGGGCCAAUCCGGGUAUGCAAACAGUCGGAAAUCAAGUUCCUUCAUCAAUGAGCGGCACUGGAAGUGGCGGCUACGGCGGAGGCUUUGGAGGUUCUUAUGGGUCUUCCUCGCAGUAUGGCGGUUCUUAUGGGCCUUCCUCUCAGUACGGCGGUCCUGGUUCCGGUGGGUAUGGUGCUCAAGGCAUGGGUUCUUCUAUGUAUCGCAUGCCACAAAACUCGGUUGGAGUGCCUUCGGGGCCGUAUUCUGAAAGUGGGCAGUAUACUAUGCCGUCGUCAGCUUAUCAGAGCCAGCAUCACCCACCAGCAGGUUCGUCUCCUGCGUCUAGGGUGCCAGGUGGACCAGGGGCUUAUCCAAACAUGCCCCCUUAUUACUGAGAUCAGGUCGAACUAUUGAUGGGUUUACUCUUUCCAAUACAUUUAUUUCGUGCUUGUCUGCAAAGUUGUUAAUGCGUAAGAGGCAGAGAAGAACAUCAUGCCAUAUUACUGCCAAGAGAUGAACGGAUAGCAAAGUUUUUGAGGAAGACUGCAACGUUAUCUUUCUCUGGUGCAGUCUCGACAAUUGUCCCGGACGUUUUAUCGAUGUUUUUGUGUAGGUCCAACUAAUGAGAUUUGGAUGAUGGAUAUCGGUUGAUUAAUUUGGAGGGAGGGCCAAGCAAUCGAGAGUAUAUUUGUCCAGCACACUCAGGCAAGUAUAAGUCACAUGGUUAUCUGUUAAUCGACUGCGGUGAGAUUGGAAGUGGAGCGAAGCACAUCUGUAGAAGGAUUCGAAAUUUUGAGCAUGCGCAUGCACAUGAGCAUAUGCAUCUCAUUUGUAGCAGGAUUAGCAGGAUUGCAAGUAGAGAUGGAAUGGAAACAUAAAUAAGAAAGAGGCUCAGCAGAAGUUUCUGUUCACUUGGGUGAGAAACGACACUCUCUGUUAAUACAGAAUGUGAUAUAUUAUUUGUUGCGUGUAAUGGUGAGGAGGAUCAUCCAUACUCUUUCAUAUACAGAACAAGAACAUCUGCCUAUGGAACGUGAAGGAUGUAAUAUUCUGCUCCUUGAAAUUUAGUGAUGAUGGAAUCGCCUGAUUCGCCGUCACUCUUUAUUUCUUCUUCGCCAGCUGUAAAGGCUUGUCUGUGAUGGGGACGUUUCUAUUCGUGUAAAUAAUGGAUACUAUACUAUACUAUAUAUUUUCACGAGUUUGAGAGGUGAAAUAUUUCUACU